rnacentral:tRNA from 1 species
GGAAUUUUGGCUCAGAGGUAGAGCACUUGCCUAGCAUGUGUGAGGCACUGGGUUCGAUUCUCAGAACCA